AUACGGAGAGUGCAAGCGUUAAUCGGAAUUACUGGGCGUAAAGCGCACGUAGGUGGCUUGGUAAGUCGGAUGUGAAAUCCCCGGGCUCAACCUGGGAAUUGCAUUCGAUACUGCCAUACUAGAGUCUAGCAGAGGGAUGCGGAAUUCCGGGUGUAGCGGUGAAAUGCGUAGAGAUCCGGAGGAACAUCAGUGGCGAAGGCGGCAUCCUGGGCUAAGACUGACACUGAGGUGCGAAAGCGUGGGGAGCAAAUAGGAUUAGAAACCCCAGUAGUCC
rnacentral:rRNA from 1 species